UACGGAGGGGGCUAGCGUUGCUCGGAAUCACUGGGCGUAAAGGGUGCGUAGGCGGGGCUUUAAGUCAGGGGGGAAAUCCUGGAGCUCAACUCCAGAACUGCCUUUGAUACUGAAGAUCUUGAGUUCGGGAGAGGUGAGUGGAACUGCGAGUGUAGAGGUGAAAUUCGUAGAUAUUCGCAAGAACACCAGUGGCGAAGGCGGCUCACUGGCCCGAUACUGACGCUGAGGCACGAAAGCGUGGGGAGCAAACAGG
rnacentral:rRNA from 1 species